CACAAGCAUCGCCAGUGUCGGGCUGAGCUGCUGAGCGUGCGGUUGUGCCGUCCUUCUCUCCCCAUCACAGUUCUUUUCUCAGAGAAAAUGCCCUCCGUUAUAGAGGUGCGAUCCACGAGGUCCACCGCAGUGCUACCAAGAGUUGCCUCCAAAGAGUUCCUGGGCAUGGCAGUGCUGGCGCUGGCGUCGGUGUUCGCCCUCUUCUGCUGCCCAAUAUUCGUGGAGCGGCCCGCGUCCCGACACUGACAUGGCCUGACCUGUGCACCGCCGCCCGCAUCAGCCGGUCAGUCGAACGGAAAAUAACCUCGGAAAAGAACCAUCUGGCAGCUCAACUUCUCAUCAUCGAGCUCCCGAAUAUCGUAACGAUAACAACUCCUCCAGUAAUGUCCACCUACACCUGCUACACGUCUCGGGGUCUGCACGGGGUCUACGCGUAGAAACAGUAGCAAUUAGUCAGAAAUUUUCAUCAUGAUUCUCGCGAACUUAAUCAACGGAAAAUGCUUGUUUUCGACUUCAUUGCGUGUGGCCGUAGCGCUUUCAUUCCAUCAUUCAGAGAAACGAGCGAGACUUUGCCCAAAUAUCGACGCGUUUUUUUUACCCCUUUGUAGGUCACCCAGAGUUAGUGACCCUGCAAUAAGGCAUAUCAGUACAAUUAGUUGCAGGCAAUAAAUUGCGUCUAUAUUUGGACAAUAUAACUCGUUCAUUUUUCUGAAAGAUCCUCUCAACUUGCUAAUAGUUCAACAGCUUUUACCGUUGGUCGCA
rnacentral:lncRNA from 1 species